rnacentral:rRNA from 1 species
GCCAUGCGAGUCACAUAGCAAUAUGUGGCAUACGGCUCAGUAACACGUAGUCAACAUGCCCAGGGGACGUGGAUAACCUCGGGAAACUGAGGAUAAACCGCGAUAGGUCAUUUCUUCUGGAAUGGGUAAUGACCCAAAUCUACAUGGCCCCUGGAUUGGACUGCGGCCGAUCAGGCUGUUGGUGAGGUAAUGGCCCACCAAACCUGUAACCGGUACGGGCUCUGAGAGGAGGAGCCCGGAGAUGGGCACUGAGACAAGGGCCCAGGCCCUAUGGGGCGCAGCAGGCGCGAAACCUCUGCAAUAGGCGAAAGCUUGACAGGGUUACUCUGAGUGAUUUCCGUUAAGGAGAUCUUUUGGCACCUCUAAAAAUGGUGCAGAAUAAGGGGUGGGCAAGUCUGGUGUCAGCCGCCGCGGUAAUACCAGCACCCCGAGUGGUCGGGACGUUUAUUGGGCCUAAAGCAUCCGUAGCCGGUUCUACAAGUCUUCCGUUAAAUCCACCUGCUUAACAGAUGGGCUGCGGAAGAUACUAUAGAGCUAGGAGGCGGGAGAGGCAAGCGGUACUCGAUGGGUAGGGGUAAAAUCCGUUGAUCCAUUGAAGACCACCAGUGGCGAAGGCGGCUUGCCAGAACGCGCUCGACGGUGAGGGAUGAAAGCUGGGGGAGCAAACCGGAUUAGAUACCCGGGUAGUCCCAGCUGUAAACGAUGCAGACUCGGUGAUGAGUUGGCUUAUUGCUAACUCAGUGCCGCAGGGAAGCCGUUAAGUUUGCCGCCUGGGGAGUACGGUCGCAAGACUGAAACUUAA